CGGCGGCGGCGGCGAAGCACCUCUCUUCUCUUCUCAACGCCCCCUUCCCAACAAACAACCAGGGAUCCACGGCCACCUCUCUUCUCUUCUCAACGCCCCCUUCCCAACAAGGGAUCCUCCCCAACCAGGGAUCCCCAACAAGAGAUGGAGGGGGAACUGAGGAAGAAGAGGGAGAUGGAGUCCGGCCAGGAGGGGACGGAGACGGAGGGGGAACUCAGGAAAGAGCAGGAGAGGCUCAGGAACGUUCGGUACCAACUAAAGAAGUGUUGUGAAUCCACCAUGAACCGGGCGACGCAGAGGAUAUUCUUGGAUCAGCUGGACUUACUCUGGAGUGAGGAGCAAGCACACCUCACGAUGAUGAGGGAGUCCGGGAUGGAGAUUGAGAGGGAUUCCGGUUCCGAUGAUACUGAUACUAAUUCCGAUUCCGGUGAUGAGAUUGAGAGGGUGCACCCGUCCCUCACAAGGAUGGCGUGGAGACUCAGAAAGGAGGCGGAGAGGGAUUAUUUCAGUAAGUUGGCCGGCAAAGAUGAGCACGGCAUGGAGAUGGAGGAGCAACUCAGCAAGGAGCACCAGAGACUCAGCAAUGUUCGGUGCCAACUCAAGAAGAAGACCGCCAACGCCAAGGACCCUGCGACGCAGAGGAUACUCUUGACUCAGCAGGAGAUACUCUGGACCAAGGAACAAGCACUCCUCACCAUCAUGACGCAGACGCAGACGCAGUCAGGGAUGGAGAUUGACAAGGAUUAUUCCGGCCAAGAGAUGGGCAGAGAUUCGCCCCUCAUAACUAUGGAGGUGGGACUCAGCAAGGGGACGGUGAGAGACGCCGGCGGCAAGGAGGUGGGGGACUGGGGACUCAGCAAGGAGCCGGUGAGAGACGCCAUGGGCUUGGUCGUUGCUCUUUCUAGCCACCUUGGGAUGCUUAGGAGGGAGAUCACCUUCCUGAGGACAGAGGUCACGUCCCGGGGCCAGGGGUUGGCUCCUGCAACCACUGGAAACAAGCUAGCUGGUCAAGUCAUGUCUAACCUCUCCCUCCAUGACAAUCUACUCAAGAAGAAGGUGGAUUUGCCUUACCUAGGUUGCCAUACCGAGGAUGCAAUGGAUUUCCUGCUUGUGGAGACGCACCAGUUGCUCUACCGCUUCAACUCUUUCCCAUCCAUUGUACAAAAAUUUGGAAUCCCCAUAUCCACGGACAAGAUUGACAAGCUGCGUCUCGUAUCCAGUGCACUUGUGGGCAUCUCGGAGCUUAUCAAAAGGCACAAAUCUGCUGCUGCCAAGGGUUAUGGAGAUCCUUUGGACCGUGCCGGCUGGGAUGCUACCUGGGGAAGCUCGACAGGGACACAUGGUGUCUUUGACGACAUAA
rnacentral:lncRNA from 1 species